CGAUGUGACAUCCACAGAGGAACAGAGCAAGGUUCUAUGAGGGAACAUGGACCAAUCCCGUACCCAUGGCAGGUGCCUAUGACAACAAACCAAGACAAAGCUGGGCUUCCCUUCCAUACGGGGCCUCUGGCAUACUGUAGAUGCUUCUGGAACCACCACUGCCCUGACCACCUGCUGAGAGGUCCUGUGCCCAUGCUGGACAUCAGCAAGCAUUUCCUCUCACACAGAUCUAAACAUCCAUCGUGGGUUCAUAUUAAGCCAUUCCUCAGAACGAUCUCAGAGACCACAUUUGCCCCUUGA
rnacentral:lncRNA from 1 species